rnacentral:lncRNA from 1 species
CUCAUAUUUUUCCAUAUGGAGCCAUUUUCAUCGUCUACUCUUGAGCAACUUCACAUCCUGCCAGACCCUUUCUUCUUUGCCCUGACUUGGUUUUCAUUUUCCCUCCCCUUUCUUCUUCCUUGGUCUGCUACCAAAAAUAAGAACUAGAAAUAAGGGGAUUAAGUUGAUAGUCACAUGGACCUGUUUCAAUGCCUUUUCUCUACUUUCAGCCUACAAAAAGAAUAGGGCCAUGUUGUGUCUGUGGACCUUAGCAACACUAAAGGUAAGGACAAGAACCAUAACACCAGCCUCAGCAUGUGUACAUUUCCAGAAACUUACCUUGAACCAGGAUCAGGAGUAAAUCACAGCUUUCAGAUCCAUCUGUACUCCUCUCCCCAAAUUCGUUUCAUGCACGUAUCUCUUGUGUUGUCAACUGACUUUUUAUUUGACUUUUCAGGUCAGGCACUCUGCCAGCAGUAGCCAGAAGGAAAAAAAGAAAAGAGAUGCAGCCCAAACUCUCCAAGCAUGUGGCCCUCCUUGAGUACAUGCAUUUUGACAUCAGAAGCAUGUCAUAUAUCCAUCUUCAUAGCCUCUAUGACACCCAUGGAGUCUGGGUUGGCAGCCCAGUCUGUUGGCAGCCCCUAACAGAAAAUCAGAAAGGAUGAAGAAUCUGUGUUAGCAGGCUGAAGGAUCUGCACUGGAGCCAGGAAGCAAUGCUUAAAGUAAGAACGAGAGCUAUUCUCAGACCAACAAGGUCCCGAGCUCCUCCGAGGAUGAAAACAGCCAAGUUCAUCAUGAAAGCGAGCACGAUAAGCUCCUUCAAGAGAACCAACAGCUCCUUACGGCUUCUACCAGCUCCCAACAGCCUUUUUCAGUUCCCAACAGCCUCACUUCUUCUCAAGUUCUGCCUUUUAUGCUGUUGGCAACAAUCCCCAGAGCAGCCAUCCACAAGAACAGUGUAAGUGAACCUGCUGUUGCUCUCGGGGACCAGCUUGGCAUCAUUGGAGCCUUGCAGAAUGACAGCCUUAUUCAGGCUUCCAGUCUCCUCAUCCAGUAGGCAAUGCUGUUCCUGCAGUGGUAUGCCAAUAGUACCUCUCUCUCCUGGGAGGCCACAGGACCAGAUGCAUCAGCAGUACCAGGAGCACCAGCCACACCGGGUUCACCCUUGUUUCCAUCAGAUCCUGGGGGUCCAGAAGGACCUUGGCUUCCAAUGGGACCAGAGGGACUUACAGCACCACUCUCACCUGGGGCUACACAUUCCCCUCUUGCACCAGCAGGAUCAGGGAGACCAAAUUCACCAGGGAGACCCCUUUCUCCUGGUUUGGCAACUUCACCAGUUGGACCUGAAGGGCCAGGCAGAUCCUGGAAACCUGGAGAACCAGCAGGAUUCUGUUCACCUUUGCUACCUUGGACACCCCGGGGGGAUCCUUCUUACGUUUUAGAUAAAAAAUUCCUGCAAAC